AACAUUGCUUAUAGCCCACACAUUACAAGUAAAACUGCCCUAUGAAUUAAAUCUUAAAUGGCCGCGGUAACCUGACCGUGCAAAGGUAGCACAAUAAAUAGCCCUCUAAUUGGGGGAUAGAAUGAAAGCUCCAACAAGACUCUAACUGUCUCUACACCAACUACCAAACUUUAUAAGGAGGUGAAAAAGCCCCCAUUCAAUAGAAAGACAAAUAGUCCCUAAAAGCUUACCCAUCAUACGUCCCCUCUUAAACGCUAAAGUUUUGCCGGGGCGGUAAAUUACCUUAACUACUAAAUUAAUCUAUAGACCAAUAAGUCACCACAUUUACCCCCUAAUAAUUCAAGCAAGCUACUUUAGGGAUAACAGGCUAAUUACUUCCUUCAAGUACACAUUAACAGAAGUGUUUGGCACCUCGAUGUUGGCUUAGGGACUCUUCUUAUUGGAGAUAAUAAGAGAGAAGGUUUGUUCAACCCUUAAACCCCUACAUGAUC
rnacentral:rRNA from 1 species